GUCCCUUACAGCAUGCUGUUCCUGUCCCUAAGCUGAUGUGACGUUUGCAUUCAGUUGCCCCGUUUGUUAAGUCACAUUAUGCGAACUUCAGUGUGGACUCGCAGGUCCACGUAGGGUGGGACAUGAGCAGCCUUUGGAAAGGAAUGACGGUCUGCAAGACCAGCACUGGUGACGUGCCGGUCACCAUGUAGCGGGUGUUAUAGUCGGGUGUCGGGCCCGUGAGUCUCGUUGCAGUAAGGCGGUCAGGUAUUACCUCUAGUAAACGCUAGGGUGUCAGGGUGGGUCCGCUGGCCCCUCUGAGCCCAGCGUUAAGUCCC